GCCGAGGUGUCAGAGUGGCCUAUGUAUCCGGCUGCAGACCGGAUUACGGGAGUUCAAAUCUCCCCCUCGGCU
rnacentral:tRNA from 1 species